AACGAACGCUGGCGGCAUGCCUAACACAUGCAAGUCGAACGAGACCUUCGGGUCUAGUGGCGCAAGGGUGCGUAACGCGUGGGAACCUGCCCUUAGGUUCGGAAUAACUCCCCGAAAGGGGUGCUAAUACCGGAUAAUGUCUUCGGACCAAAGAUUUAUCGCCUUUGGAUGGGCCCGCGUUGGAUUAGCUAGUUGGUAGGGUAAAAGCCUACCAAGGCGACGAUCCAUAGCUGGUCUGAGAGGAUGAUCAGCCACACUGGGACUGAGACACGGCCCAGACUCACCGGGGAGGGGGCGGGGGGAAAUAUUGGAAAAGGGGCGAAGGCUAGAUCGAGCAUCGCCGGGUGAUGGUGGAAGGCUUUGGGGUUGAAAAUUUUUUUUACCCGGGAGGAUAAGGACAGGACGGGAAAAAGAAGCUCCGGCAAACCCCGUG
rnacentral:rRNA from 1 species